UAUUUGAAUGACCAUCACUCAGAGGAC
rnacentral:piRNA from 1 species